UUAUGAUUAUUUUGCAUAUUAGAAUUUUAUUUCUAUUGUAAAUAGCCUCCCUUGGCUAUUAGGAUUUUAGACUCCUAUUAGGAUUAGAAUUAUUUUUGCAUAUUAGGAUUUUAUUUCUAUUGUAAAUAGCCUCCCUUGUCUAUUAGGAUUUUAGACUCCUAUUAGGAUUAUGAUUAUUUUUUGCAUAUUAGGAUUUUAUUUCUAUUAUAAAUAGCCUCCCUUGGCUAUUAGAAACUCACUUUCCAAUUUUUAAGAAAUUUCAAUAAGACUUUUCGUCUUUUAGCCUAUAUUUUCUCUUAUUUCGUCUUAACCAAACGAUAUUGGUUACAACUCCUGACGGAGUCUAAAUAGUCCUGUAUCA
rnacentral:lncRNA from 1 species